GACGAACGCUGGCGGCGUGCCUAAUACAUGCAAGUUGAGCGCUGAAGGUUGGUACUUGUACCAACUGGAUGAGCAGCGAACGGGUGAGUAACGCGUGGGGAAUCUGCCUUUGAGCGGGGGACAACAUUUGGAAACGAAUGCUAAUACCGCAUAAAAACUUUAAACACAAGUUUUAAGUUUGAAAGAUGCAAUUGCAUCACUCAAAGAUGAUCCCGCGUUGUAUUAGCUAGUUGGUGAGGUAAAGGCUCACCAAGGCGAUGAUACAUAGCCGACCUGAGAGGGUGAUCGGCCACAUUGGGACUGAGACACGGCCCAAACUCCUACGGGAGGCAGCAGUAGGGAAUCUUCGGCAAUGGACGAAAGUCUGACCGAGCAACGCCGCGUGAGUGAAGAAGGGUGUCGGAUCGUAAAACUCUGCUGGUAGAGAAGAACGUUGGUGAGAGUGGAAAGCUCAUCAAGUGACGGUAACUACCCAGAAAGGGACGGCUAACUACGUG
rnacentral:rRNA from 1 species